UUAAAUUUGUCUAAAUACGGAUGUAUCUAGUUACAUUUUAGUGUUAGAUACAUCUGUAUCUAAACAAAUGUAAGACAAGAAUUUUGGGACGGAGGGAAUACUAC
rnacentral:pre_miRNA from 1 species